AAACCAACAGGGAUUGCCUCAGUAACGGCGAGUGAAGCGGCAAAAGCUCAAAUUUGAAAUCCCCCGGGAAUUGUAAUUUGAAGAGAUUUGGGUCCGGCCGGCGGGGGUUAAGUCCACUGGAAAGUGGCGCCACAGAGGGUGACAGCCCCGUGAACCCCUUUAAAGCCUUCAUCCCAGAUCUCCAAGAGUCGAGUUGUUUGGGAAUGCAGCUCUAAGUGGGUGGUAAAUUCCAUCUAAAGCUAAAUACCGGCGAGAGACCGAUAGCGAACAAGUACAGUGAUGGAAAGAUGAAAAGCACUUUGAAAAGAGAGUGAAAAAGUACGUGAAAUUGUUGAAAGGGAAGGGCUUGCAAGCAGACACUUAACUGGGCCAGCAUCGGGGCGGCGGGAAACAAAACCACCGGGGAAUGUACCUUUCGAGGAUUAUAACCCCGGUCUCUAUUUCCUUGUUGCCCCGAGGCCUGCAAUCUAAGGAUGCUGGCGUAAUGGUUGCAAGUCGC
rnacentral:rRNA from 1 species